GCUGGGGCCCGGGGGCGGCUCCGGUCCCCGUGUGUCCGUGGAGCUGUCAGCUGCGGGGCACGGGGAUAGCUCCGCAGAGCCCACCGCUGGCUGUGAUGCGUGGUACCCUGCCUGGUACAUGGUACCUGGGGAUCUACUGACCCAUAGCCCAGAUGAGUAGAAGCCAAAAGGACCUACAGCCCCAUAACCCCGAUGAAUAGGAGCCGGAAGGACCUACAGACCCGUAACCCGGAUGAGUAGGAGCCAGGAGGACGAGAGAAACGAGAACGCGGCCAUCAGCACACGGAGCUGCUUGUUGCAGGGCUCUGCGUGCUCUUGUGAUGAGCAGUGGGACCCUGGAGAGCAGGGCAGCGUGAGCAAGCUGUGGGCUUUGAUGGGUUCAGCCUGCUGGAAGAGAAGUUCAGGCCUUUGGGACCUGAGAUGGAGCCCAUGUGGGGAAGCCUCACACCUCCUCGCCCUCUCUCACGCUGUCCGUCCCCGUCCGUGGGCUCGCAGCCUGCAGGCAGUGCUCGUUUGGGGCUUCCUGGUUCCCAGCGCCGCGGCGCUUGCGUUGCUUUGGCAGGAAGUGACCAGCUGUUGUGCAGAAAGCUGGCCUCCAGCCAGAGCCCGAGUUCAAACAGAGCCCAGCAAAUGGCCUUUCCCCCUUCCUCCGCGUUUAAAGCCCUGCUCACAGCCGUAGUUCUAUUUAUAAUACCCAGGAAAAGCAAGCUGAGACUUUCCCACAGUGCCUGCUUUGCAGGCGAUUGUUGUUCGGGAAGCUGGAAUGUACACGAUAUUAUUUUUGAAUCCCCUGGGGAGGAUUUUAUUGCGCGUCCCUUCGUGUCCCCAUCUGUGCCAAGGAAAGUUUUGCUGAGCGCGAGGUCUCUUACUGCUGCUUGUAGCUCUGAGAAGCUUUGCUGAGAUGCUUUGGGUGUCUCUGUGUCUGUAACACGCGUGCGUCCACCAUUCCCCAUACUAUUUUGCAGGGUGCCGAGAUGUGCUGCUAGGAUGGUGAUUCCACCCCUGCCUGCCCGUUCCCAAGGCAUUUGUCACCUGCUAGUGGGGUCUCUGGCACUUGUGGCUUUCCCAUUUGCCAGCUCUGCAAAGCAGUGCGCUGCUGUUUUUCUUAGGGCAUUUCUCUGUCCCUUGUUUGCUGUCCUUGCUGUACAGCAGUGAGGCUCUGCAGGGCACUGUCAUCCUUCUGCCUAGUGAACUGUCACUUUUCUCUCCGUUCUUUUUUUUUUUUUUUUUCAAAAGCCAUUUGCAAGCACCUUCCCAGCUCCCAAAGCUCUGUGCGUUAUUUUAGCAUGGCAUCCCAUGUGGCAGUCCAGCAGAGCACAUCCUUUCCUGGCCUGGGAACGCUUCUUGUGCUUCAGCCAAUGCAAGGUGUGGAACUGAUGAUGUCUGCAGGCCUUGGUGUUUUAGGGCCUGGCAGCCUCACGGUGCUGCCCGGCGUGGAAGACGCUAGGUGGAGACAGGCGAGGAGAAGAUGACAGGAGGACAACUGCUUGGUCACAGCUCUCUGAACAUGGGACUGACAGCAGAGAUGCUACCCAGAUGUUCGGGGCUGAGGAGGACAGCAGGAUCCCUGUGGGAAGGGGCCAUGUCUUGUGUGUUUGCUCUGCACUCUUCCUUGGCAUCAGUCCUGGCUGUGCUGUCCUUGAGUUCGUGUGAGAAAAGGCCAGAAGCGUGUUCACCCCCUCUGACUGGCUCCGUGGCAAUGCAGUCACCGGCUCUCUCGCUGACCUUGCAGUGAUGCAGCCUCUCAGAUAAGGAAACCAGUGCUGCUGCAGAGGCCGUUGUACUAGGGAAGCUGUAGCCUUUCCCUCUGCCUGUUCCCACAGUGAGUACCGCGUGCUUUUCCCUUGGCCGUGCCCUCACCAUCGCGACCAGAACCUCAGAGCCCUCAGUACCGCAAAGCUGGCUGUGUCGGAGGGGUGUUGCCUAAUGGAAAACAUUUUGGAACAGAGCUUUCAAAAUAAAGAUAGAAAAAGGUCGGUAGCUUUACAAGUAAUUAAUACCCACAGUCAUUUAAAAUUGUCUUUAGAAAUGUGCCGUUCAGAACUUUUUAGGGCUGAGAACGUAUCUGGGAAGAUAGUUAUGUUUUCAGCUGCAGCCUUUUUACCCUGCUUUUGUGAUUACUCUUUUUCUAUGUUAGGAUCUUGUUUUGCUAGGGGAAAAAAAAAAAAAAAAAAAAAAAAAAAGAACAGAACACUGCCAAGAAAUUUUGUUUUCAUACGCUGGUCCUCCCAGCCCAGCUGCCAGCUCGGCCUUCCUGUGCCGACACGUAUCAUGUUACGAGUGUCACAGCACCAGCAGCGUUCCUGACACCUGAUUUUGGCUUCCCGUGUUUCUGGGUGAGCCGUGGACAUGCUCAGGGAAGCCGGUCAGUCUGUAGGGCUGGGAGGCUGGAAUCGUGUCUCACAGUUCUCGUGUGACUGUCCACCUCGGGGAUGGGUUUUAAUGGUUGAAGCAAGCCAUGCUGAUGCAGUUUUCUGCUGUUCCUUCAUAUUUCCGUUGCAGUGAGUUGAUUCCCUGGCAGACCCGCCUGGAGCUGGGGGUCAGAGCUGAGGCACGCUGCUGCCAUCCGUGUCUCUCUGUUUUUUAAUGAGCUCUGUCAGAAUUCGUUACUUAGCCAUUAAGCGGUGUCAGCGCAGAGUUCAUGCAUGAGCUAAGUUGAAAAUCUGCUAGGUGUGAAUUAGUGAUGAGAGAAAAGCAGGUCAAGGAACAUGUUGUUUCAGAGCAUGCUGAGCUUCAAGCUUAGCAGAGGCAAUGCUGGUGCAUCCAAGGUCUCGAACAGGCAGAAAAAAGAACAUAGGCAGGGGAUGAGAGCUGGUGAUGAGACGUGGUAGCCCAUCCAUCAGUCCGUUGCAGACCUACAUGUCACCAAUGAGCACUGCACUCUGAAGAUGCUUUGGGCCAGCCCCCAAGUUUUUGCAGGCAUCAGAGAGGGCUCUGCUUGCAUCAGUGGGGUGGUCAUAGGAUGAGGUGCUGCUGAGAGAGACACACGAGUCCCCAGCAAGCCUGCACAGUGUCAGGAUGGGUUGCCCUGGAGAGGCAGGCAGGGUUUUACCUCAAAUACUGGUAAAAGACAGUUCCUCUGCCCGUGAUCGCUUGGCAUAGCACAACCUGGAAAUGAGGUGUGAUGGAAAAAAUAAGCCAUGAAGGACAAAGCCUACAGCAAAGACAGGAACAUGUAAAUGCGAGGUUCGGGCAUGUGGCUCCCAGCUUCUGGCUGCGUCAGCAGCACAAGGUUAGCUUGCUUCCCUUGGUCAAAAUAAAGGCUUCUGUGUUUCUCUGCCUAUGUUUGCUGUGAUGGGAGGAUGCUCACACCUUUUCUGCGUCAUCUUGGUCUCCCUGUUCCUCUGUGCCUGGAGCCCUUUUCUUUGACUGCUUGUGGUGUUGGUUCAUGCUGCAGGAUACAGCCAAACUCUCCUGGUGCAGGCUCUGGUGGGUGGCACCGAGUGCCGAAAAUGAGGCCCUGGGGAAAUAUCUGAGGACAAAUUGCUAGUGAUGAGAGAGAAGUGCAUUUCUGGAGGGACCUGCCUGGGGAAAAGGAGGCAUUUGGGAAGCUAAAUAUUGUGUUUAAAACAUAAAGGCAGGAACAUGAUUCCCAGCGUGCAGAAAAACGCACAUGCCUCCUGCUAACGUCAUGCAAGCUGCUUGUUUUCUGUGGCACACUAAUGGGUGCUGCAGCCGAUAGAAGGCAAAAAGGCUGGUGGAUGUGACACAGAAAGCAGACGGGCUGUGAGGAGGUGUCUUGCUCUGACACAUUGCACGUCUGAACCCAGCUAGGUCUUUGUACUGAUUUUUGUAAAAGCCCUUUCAAUUAUUUUUGCAGUGAGCUCAUUCUUUCUGGCACAUGUCCUCUCCCUUGUUCAUUUAACACAGGCUACGUUGCACCUCUCUUCAGCCUUCUGCAUGUGAGCUGGGAACAAGCAGCUCUGCUUGUUGUCCCCAGGGAAAAACAGGCACCUUUGGGGUAUCUCAUCUUGGCUGCUUUUCGAUGCUGUGUGACGGUGGGUUGACUGGAGCCGGAGGUGUUUCUAAUAGAGCUGCCUGAAGUUAGCCAAAAUAGGGCUGGCGUGCUCCGCACGCACUGUGAGGCUCACUCAGAAGCUGGCUUUCCUUCUGUUUCGGUGUUUGGGUUUCAGGCAUGUUGCAAAGUGAUGCUGGAGGCUUUGGCUUGGCUGCUGGCUGGGCAGCCUGGUGGUCCAGGAGCACGAGUUUGCUCCAGGCUGCAAAGCGUCUGCUUGCUGCAGCUGCUGGAAACAAAGAGCUGAGGAGCUCGCGGACCUGUCCAGGCAAAACACCUCCUCUGUUUGCUCUAAUAAUAUUGUUUUUCUCAAUUCUACACCCCCAUAACAAUGUGUCUGGGCCUGUUUUAAUCCACUGGAUCACUUGGAGGCUGCAACUGAGGUCUGUUAUCCAGAUAUUUCCUGAAUCUGAUCUUGACUCUGUCCCAUCCUGCGGACUGCUGGAAGAGGUAGCACCAUUCCUUUUUCCCGUGUCGCCUGCGCACAUGUGAGCUUGGGAAUGCUUUCUACAAACCCCAAACCCACAUGCUCCUAUUUGGCUCACUCGUGGUUUUCUGCACGUGCAAGGGCUUCUGCUCAGUGUCUUUCCAUUCCCAUGUGGUCGGAUUCAUGAAGCUGAUGUUUUUGUGGCCCCACAGGAAUUUGCAGGCUCAGUGAAACUGCUCAGGGCUCCCUGCUGAGGCUGGCUUCGUGUUCGCUGUCCAGAUUGCUUGGGAACAGAGGCAAAGAGAAGAACAUUGUCCCACAAAGCCACAUGCCCCACUUGCAGCCUGGGAGCUGAGGCAUGGCUUCUGACUUUGCUCUGCAGCCCCAGUGUCUCAACCGCAAGCCAGGACACUUAUCAACCUGAAGCUGCAGGUUUUCUUGUUAUGGGCUCCUGUACGUGUUCCAAAUGCUGCUGAGACAGCUCUGUGGGUAUUUUUAGUGUGAAUGAGUAUAAAUAGGCACGGAUACUUGUCUCCAAGAAUUUUCUUCUUUAAGGUUUAAUGGAUGUUUUGCCAAGAGAUGGAGGUCGAUUGUUUGUUCAUGACGUGGAUUGCUGAAUUGCUUGAUCCAGUAUGAAUGUACAACCCUUUCUAUUAGCUGACUCAAAACCACUAGCUUCACUUUAGUAGUGUUUCAAAGUUGCUGUAUUCUUUGGGGUUUUUUUAGAUGUUAUUUAAAUUACUUUUAUAAAAUUGCAUUCUUUAUUUGAAACAGCCCCAGAAAUCUCUGCUUGCGCAUGCAGAGAGGAAGAAACCUCUUGUAUUCUGGAGGGGUAAAGUCUGUGUUUCUCGCGGAGGUUCCUUUUAAUGAGUGGCUCUGGAUUUUUAUCUUGUGGAGAAGACCACGGACCCUUUUGGGGGCUGUCAGCGUGCCUAGCAAGCUGUAGUGUGUGUAACCCUGUGGGAGCCAGGAACACGCAUAAAAAGGUUUUUGGGGAAGACCUCCACCUGCUGACAGUGCUCUGUCCAAAGCAGCCCAGGAACCGCUCACUCCGUUGCCCCAGGGGCACAUCACUGGCCCACGGUCACCUCGGUGUCCCCAACACCCCCGGGGCCAUUUCUGCUUCCAUCUGGGUGGCCCAGGACUGCCUUGCGGUUAUUCCUCCCCAAAUGCAGGAGUUCUCAUUGCUUUUUGGUGAACUCCGUGAUGUUACUGUUGCCCAUUUCUCCAUUUUUUGCCUUGUGGAGAUGCCCAUGGGUGUCUGAGAUGGUGCUGGGUGCUCCCCUGCCCACGUCUGCCCGACGUGCACCUCCUGCCCCAUCUUGUGUGAGCGCUCUCGCUGGCAGGUUCUCUGCAGGGGUGUGUGCUGCACAUUGUUUUCUGGCAUUGUUAGGAGAGCAAUGGGAAUCUGGUGUGGAUUUCUUAGCUUGGAACACGUUCAGAUGCCUAAACUUUUCAUGCUGAUUACCUAGCAGUUCUCCUUGUUCCAGGGAAGUGUUGUUUGAACAAAGCUUUGCAUGAAGAAUGGAGAGAGGAAAGAAAGAAGGGGGAAGCAGGAAAAGGGCCUCUCCGUGCUCUGCACAGCUUUGCUCUCAAUUUAGGACUCAAACACCUUUGCGUUGCAGGUGCAUCAGGCGCCAACGAGGAAAUCAAAAGCCUCUUCUUGAAGAGCCCACGUCCGAAGUUAUUUCCAGUGCCCUUGUCCUCCUGUGCAUCCUGCAGUCCUUGGGGCUCCGAUUGCAGGCACUGAGGAAACCCGAGCUUGGGAAAAAAUCUAAAUAGUACCCAAGGAAGAACGUCAGGAAAUGCCCAUCAAACAGCUGAGCAGGGGAUUCCUGAACAGGUUUCCUGUACUUCUUUGAAAUGCUGAUAAAAAGCUUCGUGAGAUACCUGCACAGAUGAAUUUCCCAAAUAGGGUACUGAAAGCUUCACACCGCAGCGUUUGCAUGAUACUGGAGCUCCCACACGUGCUUGGUGUUUGGAUAGCGUUGUUAGACCCACUGGAACUGGCAUAAUGAAGUAAUGACAGACUGUUAGCUGGUAGAAGGGCACUGUGUCCUGUUGAAAGGAUUCGUGAAGUUUCUCCAAGGGACAGCUGUCGCUUGGAUCCUUUGGGUCCCAGUUCAUGUUUACCUCUGCACAUCCUCAGCAUGCUAACAGGGCUGAGCCCGGAGGGAAAGUGCCCUGCCUCCUCCUGCACGUCCCUGCGUGCAGGGCUGGGAAUGGCAUUGUGAGGGACCAGCAGCACCAACAUCCGCCUCCCGGUGUGACCCUGGGAGCGAGAGGAUGUGACUCUGGGACAGAGCCAACACUGGGGACCUCAGAGCCGGCAUGACAUGCAGCCAGGAACCCCUGAAAUGCAGCAGGGUCAUGGGAUCAAGCCCUGGUGGUGACAGCAUGCAUUCUACACGUGUUCCCUCACCAAAAUUUGGGUGCCCAGCUGCUGGCACACAGCACCCAUACCCAUCUGAGCUGGUGCUGGCUGCAGUAUGAAGCCAGGUGAAGGGGUGGGUUGUUAGGGACUGUCAAGAUAUCCCAUGUGCCUUUCAGUGUUUUCCUGCUUUUUAAUUGUGCUUGGAGCCUCUUCUGAACACUAAAAUCUAAAAAAUAUUUGGGAAAAUAUUGAAGUGCCA